rnacentral:tRNA from 1 species
ACCCGGGUGGCUUAGUCGGUUAAGCGUCUGACUUUGGCUCAGGUCACGAUCUCAUAGUUUGUGGGUUCAAGCCCCGCGUCGGGCU